CGAUAUGACGGCUGAAGGCAGCAGAGAAAGAAGGAAAAAACCCAAUGUUGGUGGCCACCUCGUAAUUCAAAUACUCCUUUAUUAAUGACGAAUUAUUCAACUCCGAAUUGUGGUGCCUCUACAACGUCGAAAUAAUAAAAUAUUGUGCAAGCUUAGACACUGCAAGAAAAAAUGCAGCAGACAGUACAUACAGUACAACGGAUGAUGAAAACUUGGAGCGAGAAAAAAGACAGCAUGUGCCAUCUGUACGAUUCAACGAUGACGAUUCAGAAGAAGAGUCUCAGGAACAGGACACAAAUUCUAAUAAGAGAUAGAAACAAUCACAUUGUGUUCCACGUAACAAUUUUCACUCAAAAUCAUAUACUAUUCCUGCUCCACCUGAAGAUUUUGGCUUAAACAAUGAAGAUUCUGAUGUCGAAACAGUAGAUAUAAAUAAUGAUGAAAAUGAAAUACAUUUAGAGCAAGGUAUAGGAGAGAAUGGGGGAAUGACGGUCAUCAGGCAAUGCAGGUCACCCGUUUACAGAAACAUACAACAGUUAUAUCAAACUUUUUUGUCUCUAUCCGUUUACAUACAUGAUUAUCGAGUAAUUCAUUAUGCCGUCCCUAUUAAACCAAUAUAAAUUAAUAAAAAUCUGAUGAUUCUUGUUUUAACUCAGAA